rnacentral:rRNA from 1 species
UACGGAGGGUGCAAGCGUUAUCCGGAUUUACUGGGUUUAAAGGGUGUGUAGGCGGGCUAUUAAGUCUGGGGUGAAAUCUCCGAGCUCAACUCGGAAACUGCCUUGGAUACUAUUAGUCUUGAAUUAUGUUGAGGUUGGCGGAAUAUAACAUGUAGCGGUGAAAUGCAUAGAUAUGUUAUAGAACACCGAUUGCGAAGGCAGCUAACUAAGCAUAUAUUGACGCUGAGGCACGAAAGCGUGGGGAUCAAACAGG